rnacentral:rRNA from 1 species
GACGAACGCUGGCGGCGUGCCUAAACAUGCAAGUCGAACGAGGUCCAUCCAGUGGCAACACUGGUGAAGACCUAGUGGCGAACGGGUGAGUAACACGUGAGGAACCUGCCCCGAAGACCGGGAUAACCCUCCGAAAGGAGAGCUAUUACCGGAUACCCCCACCAGAUCGCAUGGUCAGGUGAGGAAAUGCAUUGUGCUUC